rnacentral:rRNA from 1 species
UGUGUGGUGGUAAACGGAGGGGUUCUCGAAGUUUCUGUGGGGAAUCUCAGCCUUGGUGUCGCGUGGCCCUGUCGUAUCCGAUCAGCAAUGACGGUGCGGCUUGGCCGACGUGUCUCUCGGGUGCAUUUCCCCCGCAGUUUACGGCAGGAACUGUUUGGAGCGCACCGAAGGCCUCGGGUGAAGUUGUUGGUUCUGCUGGCAGCCCUGGGUGUCCUGGCUUCGCACCAGACAGGUACGUGAGAGGACUCGUAUAGCGAGCAAUGCUCUGUUGCGGUUCUCAUCUCUCUGCCGAGUAGGUCGGCG